rnacentral:rRNA from 1 species
UACGUAGGGGGGCAAGCGUUGUCCGGAAUCAUUGGGCGUAAAGCGCACGUAGGCGGCCCGGUAAGUCCGUUGUGAAAGUCAGAGGCUCAACCUCUGGAGGCCAAUGGAUACUGCCGGGCUAGAGUCCGGAAGAGGCGAGUGGAAUUCCUGGUGUAGCGGUGGAAUGCGCAGAUAUCAGGAGGAACACCAAUGGCGAAGGCAGCUCGCUGGGACGGUACUGACGCUGAGGUGCGAAAGCCAGGGGAGCGAACGGG